CCGUUGAUAUUAAAAUUUCCACCAGAGAGACACUGGGGUACACUUCAUGGCUGAAAAAUGACUGGGUUGUGGAUUUGCGUUACAAUUAUUCUCAUUCAUCAAGUGUUUCCAUGUCAAGCAGUUGCGCCUGUCCUGUCUGGUCUCCCAACCUCCAUCAGCGUGGGAGAGUUGGAGACGGCCAACAGACUUAUAUACACAAUCACAGUUACCGAUCCCGACAAUGACGCCUAUGUUUGUGAUGUAAGCAGUACCGUUCCGGCCAAUGGACCAUUUGUCGGCAUCAAAGACACAGACACGAACAAGUAUGGCAUCUACACGGAUACACCGACAUUCAGCUAUGCCACUACCACCGUGCAUACCGUAAAUAUUGAGUGUACAGACACUGGAGGGUUGAUAGGGACGGGAGUUCUCAGUGUAGACGUCAUAGAGGGAGACGCGCUCACCUUUAAUAAUCUACCAGCUUCAACUACCCAUGACGCCUCUACAACGCUAAAUGGUGCCGGAAUCUACACUGUCACGACAACGGAUGCCAAAGGUCACACAACAAAGACGUACACCAUGACAUCUACCCCUUCUACAACAAGUUUUGUAAUCGACGCUGGUACUGGCGCAGUGACGGCCGACAGAGACCUGAAGUAUGAGAUCUACACCAGUGUUAAGCUGUACAUCACUGUGUCUGACGGUAGUAUCGCGGCCGUGGAGGUCCUCACCGUAGUUCUCACCAACGUCAACAAUGUCCCGACGUUCACCAACCUGCCAGCGUCUAUAGACGUGGUGGAGUCGGCAGCUGCCGGAACCGUCCUUAUAACGCUGACUCCCAACGACGCCGACGCGGGCGCGUCUCUCACCUAUACAAUGUCUGUGGAUCCGGUAGCGUCGGCCAACCUAUUCGCCUACAAUACAAACACCCAGCAAGUGACCUUGGCUACCGGACAAAACUUCAACUACGAGUCUGUUAUCUACUUCAACGUGACGUUUACAGUCUUUGAUCAGUUAGCCACGGGAGGACCGUUUGUAUUGGACGUUCACAUCAAGGACGACGACGAGCCCUGUUACUUUGACAAAAGCUACUACUCACUCAGCACGAGUGAGGGAGCAUCCGGCAGCAUCAGUCUGAAUCCGAACUUUAUCAUCAGCGACUAUGACGGUAUAUCCUCCUACUCAUUGUCCUUCACCACAGCUAACAACAGCGAAAGAUUCACCAUCGAUGCCUCGACAGGUGUGAUAGGGUUCGCCGUGAACUAUGACAUAGACAACAGUGCCAUGCCGUCUACCGUCAUUCUAACUGUCGAGUGUAAGGACGCCACCAGCCAGACAGGGACAACCAAUGUACAGAUCAGCAUCGCGGACGUGAACGACAACGCGCCAACAUUUGGUAGUGCUAGCUACAUCCUAACUGUGGAUCAGUAUUCAAGCGCAGGGACGCUGAUAGGUUCGUUAGCGCCUACAGACGCCGACUCGGGUAGUAAUGCUGACUACACGUGCAGUGCAACAACCACUUCCGCAACAGGAUCUACAUACUAUAACAUCGGAUCCGACUGUGGCGUAUACCUGAUCGCCACCCCGUACGGAAAUAUAGACUACGGGACAAUGGUUCGAUUCUCAGUUACGGCGACAGACAAGGGAUCAACGCCUCUGAGUGGAACGACGUUCGUCGACAUUAUCUUCAAGGAAGCAACGACAACGACGACGACAACGACGGCAGCGACAACAACUGCCUCCAACUUCUUUGACGACCCAGGGAGUCUGGCGGCGUUUGUUGUCGCGGUUGUGCUAGGUGCGAUUAUCCUUGCAUUAUUGCUGUACAUGUGUCUGCGCUGGUGGGUUACAGGCGCGUGCUGUGGGCCGGACCCUUGUGACUUCUGUUAUUGGUGUCGGGGUGAUGGACGAGAUCAAUGCUGUCAACGUAAACAACGUCGACACAGGAAAAGAGUGGUUACCCCAGAAACGCCAGAGAGGCCCAAGAGAAAGAGCAAGGGGGAGUUUGAGUACUGGAAGGAAGAUGAUGGUGGGCCGAUAAGAAAAUCGAAAAUUAUCCGACACUAUUAUGGUUAAAGGGAGACAGCGACUACGGUUCACUCAGCAGGGCUGACGUUAAGCAGAAUAGAAGUUCUCGUAUGACCGGACAUCGUGACUAC
rnacentral:misc_RNA from 1 species